rnacentral:rRNA from 1 species
CCCGCUGAACUUAAGCAUAUCAGUAAGCGGAGGAAAAGAAACUAACAAGGAUUCCCCUAGUAACGGCGAGUGAAGCGGGAAAAGCUCAAAUUUAAAAUCUGGCAUCCUCUGGGUGUCCGAGUUGUAGUCUAGAGAGGCGCUUUCUGUGCUGGACCGUGUAAAAGUCUCUUGGAAUAGAGCAUCAUAGAGGGUGAGAAUCCCGUCUUUGACACGGACUACCAAUGCUUUGUGAUGCGCUCUCAAAGAGUCGAGUUGUUUGGGAAUGCAGCUCAAAAUGGGUGGUAAAUUCCAUCUAAAGCUAAAUAUAGGCGAGAGACCGAUAGCGAACAAGUACCGUGAGGGAAAGAUGAAAAGCACUUUGGAAAGAGAGUUAAACAGUACGUGAAAUUGCUGAAAGGGAAACGCUUGAAGUCAGUCGUGUCUGCCAGGACUCAGCCUUGCUUCUGCUUGGUGUACUUUCUGGUCGGAUGGGCCAACAUCAAUUUUGACCGUUGGAGAAAGGCUUUGGGAAUGUGGCACCUUCGGGUGUGUUAUAGCCCUUGGUCGUAUACAACGGUUGGGAUUGAGGACUGCAGCACGCCUUUAUGGCCGGGGUUCGCCCACGUACGUGCUUAGGAUGUUGGCAUAAUGGCUUUAAGCGACCCGUCUUGAAACACGG